rnacentral:rRNA from 1 species
UGUAGCGUAUACCAAAGUUGUUGCAGUUAAAACGCUCGUAGUCGGAAUUUGGCAGUUCCGGAUGUGUGCACGUCGUGUGCGCACUUCGCGGGGAUUGCUUUUGUGGUCUUGCGUAGGAUGAGGCACUUUUAUUAGUGAACGUCCUCACGCAACCACUUUUUACUGUGAGAAAAUCAGAGUGCUCAAAGCAGGCAUUUGCCGUGAAUGUAUUAGCAUGGAAUAAUAGAAUAGGACUUGGUUCUAUUUUGUUGGUUUGUUGGGACUGAGUAAUGAUUAAGAGGGACAGUUGGGGGCAUUUGUAUUUCGGUGCUAGAGGUGAAAUUCUUAGAUUACCGAAAGACAAACUGCUGCGAAAGCGUCUGCCAAGGAUGUUUUCAUUGA